GACGAACGCUGGCGGCGUGCUUAACACAUGCAAGUCGAACGGAAAGGCCCUGCUUUUGUGGGGUGCUCGAGUGGCGAACGGGUGAGUAACACGUGAGUAACCUGCCCUUGACUUUGGGAUAACUUCAGGAAACUGGGGCUAAUACCGGAUAGGAGCUCCUGCUGCAUGGUGGGGGUUGGAAAGUUUCGGCGGUUGGGGAUGGACUCGCGGCUUAUCAGCUUGUUGGUGGGGUAGUGGCUUACCAAGGCUUUGACGGGUAGCCGGCCUGAGAGGGUGACCGGCCACAUUGGGACUGAGAUACGGCCCAGACUCCUACGGGAGGAAGCAGUGGGGAAUAGUGCACAAAGGGCGGAAGCCGGAUGCAGCAACGCCGCGUGGGGGAUGACGGCCUUCGGGUUGUAAACCGCUUUCGCCUGUGACGAAGCGUGAGUGACGGUAAUGGGUAAAGAAGCACCGGCUAACUACGUG
rnacentral:rRNA from 1 species